CACGUAGGCGGAUCAGUAAGUUAGAGGUGAAAGCCCAGGGCUCAACCCUGGAACUGCCUUUGAUACUGCUGGUCUGGAGGUCGAGAGAGGUGAGUGGAAUUCCGAGUGUAGAGGUGAAAUUCGUAGAUAUUCGCAAGAACACCAGUGGCGAAGGCGGCUCACUGGGCCAUUACUGACGCUGAGGCACGAAAGCUGGGGAGCAAACA
rnacentral:rRNA from 1 species